CAGUGAAAUUGAACUCGCUGUGAAGAUGCAGUGUACCCGCGGCAAGACGGAAAGACCCCGUGAACCUUUACUAUAGCUUGACACUGAACAUUGAGCCUUGAUGUGUAGGAUAGGUGGGAGGCUUUGAAGCGUGGACGCCAGUCUGCGUGGAGCCAACCUUGAAAUACCACCCUUUAAUGUUUGAUGUUCUAACGUUGGCCCCUAAUCGGGGUUGCGGACAGUGUCUGGUGGGUAGUUUGACUGGGGCGGUCUCCUCCCAAAGCGUAACGGAGGAGCACGAAGGUUAGCUAAUCCUGGUCGGACAUCAGGAGGUUAGUGCAAUGGCAUAAGCUAGCUUGACUGCGAGCGUGACGGCGCGAG
rnacentral:rRNA from 1 species